rnacentral:rRNA from 1 species
UACGGAGGAUGCAAGCGUUAUCCGGAAUUAUUGGGCGUAAAGCGUCCGCAGGUGGCACUACAAGUCUGCUGUCAAAGACUGGGGCUCAACCCUGGAGCGGCGGUGGAAACUGUAGAGCUAGAGAGCGGUAGGGGCAGAGGGAAUUCCCAGUGUAGCGGUGAAAUGCGUAGAGAUUGGGAAGAACACCAGUGGCGAAAGCGCUCUGCUGGGCCGGGUCUGACGCUCAGGGACGAAAGCUAGGGGAGCGAAUGGG